UAAAAUUUUCACUUAUUAUUUUUAUACUUCUGUACUAAUGAUUUUCAUCAAUGGGCUAGAGCUUUUCAUCAAGAUAUAGCGCAAAACUGUUGAUUCAAUCUUUUUGUAGAUUAUGCAUCGACCGAACUGGAUGCAUGUUCAUUAUAUCUAAAUCAGGGUAUAACGCAAAUCUGUUACUUCCAUCUUUUUAUAGAUUACGCAUUGACCGAACUGGAUCUGUGUGCUCAUUUAGUAAUCGAAGACUCUUUAGAAAAACAAAUAUUGGUGAAGAUAGAUCAAGUAUAUGUCAAAUAGUGUGAUUUGAUGUGCCUGCUAGAUAGUGCCAAAUGGCUAACUGAUGAUGUAAAUACCUUUACUAACAAGAAAAAUGUUUAUGAUUAUUUUAGUAUUCAUCAACAAUAAAUAAUUUCAAAACUUUUUAGGUAAUCAGCGCAUAUAUAUAUACAUAUAUAUAUAUACAUACAUAUAUAUAUAUAUAAAUACAUGAGCAAAAUAAGAAUGACCAUAAAGUGUAUUUUGAGAAUACCUUUUUAGCCGGACUGUUAAAACGGGAUGGUGAGAUUGGAAUACAUGAAGCAACCUUUAUGACAAAGAUUGUCGGAAACUAUCUCAAGCAUGACAUGGUAACAUCUAGACCCAUAAUUGUAAGUUCUAUUAUUUUGAUGAGGACAUCCCAAGUAAUGAUACAACCACAACCCCUACAGCACGUACACCUCAAGUACCGGAGAUACAUGGACCAGUUACUAGAGGUCGUGCACGACAACUAAAUUAUCAGGUACUUUCGUUCCUCGGUACUUCAUUUAAUAUUAAUGAGAAUAUGCUGUUGCCUAAGAUGGGUUCUUUUAUGUGUUUUAGGAAUGAAGGACCUAGCUUGGACCUCAAGGAUCAGCGUUGGACAGCAAACCAUGGAGGUGGCAGCAAGGUGGCGGGAGUUAGCUCAAGUGUUGAUUUCAGAACAUUGAAACCGCCAUAAAGAGAUGAGAAAAAGGCCGCAUCCUCUUCAUCAAUGGGAUUUCGGCCAAGUGGAGGAUUCCCCCUCCAAUGGGUAUCUAUGGGCCAAAGAUGAGGGUUAUAACCUUCUUUUAUCGGGCCUAAGGCCAUGUAAUAGGGUCCAGCCAAUUUUUAGAUGUUUUCGUUGUGUUUUAGGAGGAUUCCUAGGCCGUUUCGGAGUCCCACAAGGGCCUGGCCGAAAACCACCUAGUUCCCCUCCUAUUUAUACCCCAUGAGCCCCCCUAUGGAGCCUUGGGUUUUGAUUAGAUAAAGUUUAGCCUUUGCUACUUUCGUGUAAUCGCGUGUGUCGGUUAGACCACCUGUUUUACCGUCAUCAAGACUCCAACUAUAUUGAGUAUUCAGAUUCAUGAACCUUCAUAUCUCCUAUUCGCAAUUUCAGAUUGCUUUUCAUCUUGUUCUUGCUUGUUCUUCGAUUGCUUGCAGGAACAAAGACCUUCGUGGUCAGGUUGAUCGUGCCCCCGCGGAAUCAAUAACCUUCUGGAGUUGGUGUAUCGAUCGCUAAGGCGCUGCCUCCUAGGUUGUAGUCGGAUCGUCAACGUCACCUCCUACCAAAUCGAUAAUUAGGUAUCUCAUCGAAAGAUCGGGACACCCUCGAGGCUAUCACGUGGUAUCAGAGCUUAAGGUUGCUCGGUGAGAUUUUUCCAGUUUAUCCGUAGUUUAGAUCUGUUUUUACCUAUCGUCCAGAAAAAGCCAAACAAAAAUUAGAAUUAGUUACCUUGUCCUAGAACCAAUCUGAGCCUUGCAAUUUUCACAUUAGUAUUUGCAUUGUUGAAUCUUUGCUGCAUUAAUCGUGUCGAGUUGCUGGAUUAGAUUGGAUCGUUUUUCAGAUUUUUUCUACUAGAUCGAACUUGCUUUUGGUUUUCUUGUUCUUCGUGUGACGCAGGUUUCCUUCAUCAAUCUUCCGCCGCCAAACUUCCUGCCACAUCACCGCCAUAAUCUUCCGCCGCCACCAUAUCUUCCACCGAGUCCCUCUUCGAGUCCUACACCGAGUCCUUCUUCCAGUCCUACAUCGAGUCCCUCUUCCAGUCCUACACCGAGUCCCUCUUCGAGUCCUACACCGAGUCCCUCGUCGAGUCCUACAUCGAGUCGGCAAGUUAUAGUUUUCAGCCGCGAGUUCGAGUCCGAGUCCAAUCAAGAGUGCUUUUGGAAAGUGUUUCAUAAUAUAUCGAAUUUUGUUUAGAGAUCAAGUUGUUCGGAAAGUUGUGAAAAAAAAAGAAGGGAAAGAAAAAAAAAAGGAAGAAAGAAAGAAAAAAAAAGGAAAAAAAAAGAGAAAGAGUUCGAGUCAAUUUCGGACCCGAGUCCGAGUAGAAUUUUAGUUUCAGGUGGGUUUGACCCGUGUUCAGUAAAACGGACGUAUCUUUUGCAUACCAACUCGGAUUUAGACAUUCUUGGACUUUUUGGAAAGCUCACGACAAAGCGCAUCAGGAAAUAUCCAGGGCAUAGCCCUGCACUUUGACCCUCAAAUUCUGCCUCUAAGGCGGACUUUUCGAGGUCCAAAGUUUCUGCACCCGUUUUACGGCACCGGGGCAGCGCAGUAUAUCUCAGUUUUCUCCACCGUCCGACCUCCGUUUCGAGUGAUCUUGCACUUGUUGGAAAGCUUGUUUUGAUACGCUUCUAACCCAUAUUUUCUCAUAUUUUUCUGAGUUUUCCUUACUACAGCCUUUGCUAUUCUCCUACAGACCGACGUGCAGCUUUCCGGUUUUAACUUCUUUUGCGUGAGUUUCUGGGGAUAAAAAAAAAGAAAAAAAAAUAGAAAAGAAUAAGAAUCCAAACAGAAGGCCACAAAAGAAAAAAAAAAGAAAAAAAAUAUUCCCCAGAGAUUUACUUGUUUUACCUUUGAUUUGAUCUUUCCUUUCUACCUUUUUCAGUAUCUAGGCUUAGUUAAUUUCUGUAAUUCGUUCUUGUCGACUCCAGCAACUAGGACUAGCAUUUUUGAGCAUAUUUUCAACUUUGCAUUGCUGAUUUGAUUAUUCGCUUUUCCUUGCUACUCACAUAAGCCUCCAAGCUCCACAGAUUCUACACCUAGGUUGGUUUGCCUCGAGGCAUCGAUACACUAAUCUUCGGAGGGCUUGUUCUCGCCGCUGGCCAUCACCUUCCUGUUUGCUGGGUAAGAACGAGUAAGAACUUGAUUAAAAGUUGAGUGGAGUGAUCUUUGGAACCCCACAUCCUAGUAGUGCAUAGGGACUUUUCCUUGUGAUUUGUUUCUUGUUUUCUCCUAACGAUGGCAGGUUCUGACGAUGAUUUACAAGGCCACUCUCCACGCACAAAGGGCAUUAUUUCACAUUUUGAUCGCAAGCUUAGGCUCCGUAACGAGGAACUGGAUGAGAACGUUCGGGUUGCGAAUGAGAGACUUGGAACCUUGGAGAGCGCGCACAUUGAAACAAAUACCAAGCUAACAUCUUUACAGAAUUCUGUUGCUACCAUUAGUACUUCUCUGGCAGAAAUCACGACGCAACUGGCGGCAAUUGCUGCAACGACCAUCGCUACACCGGGAGGAAACAAUACACACAACCAGCGGACCGCUAAUAACGGUACCUUCGCAAGCGAGGUUGAGGAGAACGACGACGACUACUCCGCGGAUACGGAACACGACGGGGCCGUAAACCAUCACAACGACCGUGAUCAUCGCCGAACUCGUUUCAACCGCCGAGGUAUGGGACCGACACGACCUCACAGAGAGGAACAUGACUUGCUGCAUUCUAUUAAACUUAAGGUUCCUCCUUUUGAUGGAAAAUAUGACCCUGAUGAAAAGAAUUAUGCGCGCUAGAUAUGUUCCUUCAUACUAUUCGCGUGACUUGUUAAAGAAACUACAACAAUUAAGGCAAGGUAGUAAUUCUGUCCAAGAUUAUUAUCAAGAAAUGCAAAAGAACAUGUUACGUUGUGGUUUAGUUGAGAAUGAGGAAGCUGCUAUGGCUAGAUUCUUUGGUGGUUUAAAUCGUGAAAUUGCUGACAUUGUUGAUUAUAAGGAGUAUAAUUCUAUCAAUCGAUUGUUUCACAUUGCUUGCAAAGCUGAAAGGGAAGUGCAGGGACGACACGCGAACGUGCGGACUAACUUUUCUGCAGGUCGUACUUCCUCAUGGGCAGCACGCAGCCCCGCUGCCCCUUCCACACGCCCAGCUGCACCCCCUACACGUCCGGCUGUUCCGACUACUUCCACCAACAAGCAAAGUACCUCUACACCUACAUCCGCAAAGGUUGGACCAGCAGCAACAAGAAAUACACCCGCUGCCUCUGCACAAAGUUCAGCAGCGUCCGUUGCUUCCACCGGACGGACCGGAGAUAACCAAUGUCGUAGGUGCAAAGGAUACGGGCAUUUUCAGCGGGACUGUCCAACCAAAUGCGUUAUGAUCAUACGUGAAGACGGAGUAUAUGAUUCAGCCAGUGAUUUUGACGAAGCUACCUAUGCUCUCAUUGCCGAUGAAGAGCAAGAAGACCCCGCUGCCCACCAUGACGAGGAGUUAAUGGGAGCUGAAGCCGCUGAUCAGUACUUGAGUUUGAUUGCACAACGCACCUUGAGCGUCCAAAUGAGCCACGCCGAACAAAAUCAGCGGCAUAACUUGUUCCAAACAAAAGGGGUCAUCAAGGAGCGCGCUGUUCGUAUCAUCAUAGAUGGGGGAAGUUGCAAUAAUUUGGCCAGCACGGAGAUGGUGGAAAAACUUGUUCUUACCACCAGGCCGCACCCCCACCCUUACUACGUUCAAUGGUUUAACAACAGCGGUAAGCUCAAGGUAACUAGAACAGUCCGUGCACACUUUACUAUUGGUACAUAUUCUGAUUUUGUGGAUUGUGAUGUGGUACCUAUGCAAGCAUGUUCUAUGUUACUCGGUUGUCCAUGGCAAUAUGAUACAGAUUCUGUUCAUCAUGGUAGAACUAAUCAUUAUUCUUUUAUGCAUGCUGGUAAGAAAAUUGGUUUGAAACCUAUGACUCCUGAACAAAUUGUGAAAGAUGAUCUUGCUAGAGCUAGUAGAGCAAAGAGCAAAGAGAAGGAUAAGAGUGAGAACCAUAAUGUCGCUAAAGAAUUUAAGCACCAAGCGUCUACUAGCAAAUCUGAACCGAAACAUGUUAAUGAAAUUAAAUUGAAAGGUGCAUGCUUGCUUGCAAGUAAAUCCGAUAUUUCUGAGUUAGAUACGAAUAAUUCUGUUUGCUAUGCAUUCAUUUGCAAAGAGGCUUUGUUUUCAUUUGAGGAUAUGCCUCCCUCUUUGCCCCCUGCUGUUUCUCACGUUUUGCAGGAGUAUUCCGACAUCUUUCCACAAGACGUACCACCAGGAUUACCACCUAUUCGAGGGAUUGAACAUCAAAUUGAUUUAAUUCCUGGUGCUUCGCUGCCCAACUGUGCGCCCUACCGUACCAAUCCAGAGGAGACGAAGGAGAUUCAACGACAAGUUCAAGAAUUGCUCGACAAAGGUUAUAUUCGUGAAUCCCUUAGUCCUUGUGCUGUUCCUGUUAUUUUGGUACCAAAGAAAGAUGGUUCUUGGCGUAUGUGUGUAGAUUGUAGAGCUAUUAAUAACAUUACUAUUCGCUAUCGUCACCCAAUUCCUAGACUUGAUGAUAUGUUAGAUGAAUUAAGUGGCUCUACCGUGUUCUCUAAAGUUGAUUUACGUAGUGGUUACCAUCAAAUUCGAAUGAAAUUAGGCGAUGAAUGGAAAACAGCAUUUAAAACUAAGUUUGGACUAUAUGAGUGGUUAGUCAUGCCUUUUGGUCUUACUAACGCACCUAGCACUUUCAUGCGGUUAAUGAACGAAGUUUUACGUGCUUUCAUAGGACGAUUUGUGGUGGUUUAUUUUGAUGAUAUAUUGAUUUACAGCAGCUCUUUAGAAGACCACUUGAAUCAUUUACGUGCUGUUUUUGAUGCUUUGAGAGAUGCACGUUUGUUUGGUAACCUUGAGAAGUGCACCUUUUGCACCGAUCGAGUUUCGUUUCUUGGCUAUGUUGUCACUCCACAGGGCAUAGAAGUUGAUAAGGCCAAGAUCGACGCUAUUCAAAGCUGGCCAACUCCAACAAUGGUCACCCAAGUGAUGAGCUUUCUUGGACUCGCUGGGUUUUAUCGCCGCUUUGUAAAGGAUUUCAGCACCCUUGCUGCACCGCUUAAUGAACUCACAAAGAAGGACGUUCCAUAUGUAUGGGGCGCUGCACAAGAAGAAGCUUUUCUCAUAUUGAAAGAUAAGUUGACACAAGCUCCUUUACUCCAACUUCCUGAUUUUAAUAAGACUUUUGAGUUGGAGUGUGAUGCUAGUGGAAUCGGUUUAGGAGGUGUGUUGUUACAAGAUGGAAAACCUGUUGCAUACUUUAGUGAAAAAUUGAGUGGGCCUAGUCUGAAUUAUUCUACUUAUGAUAAGGAAUUAUAUGCUCUCGUUCGGACUUUAGAAACAUGGCAACAUUAUUUAUGGCCCAAAGAAUUUGUUAUACAUUCUGAUCAUGAAUCUUUGAAGCAUAUUCGUAGUCAAGCAAAGCUGAACCGUCGUCAUGCUAAAUGGGUUGAAUUUAUUGAGUCUUUUCCGUAUGUUAUUAAACAUAAGAAGGGUAAAGAUAAUGUUAUUGCUGAUGCGUUAUCACGUCGUUAUACCUUGUUAUCUCAGCUUGAUUUUCGGAUAUUUGGAUUGGAGACUAUAAAAGAACAAUAUGAACAUGAUGCAGAUUUUAAGGAUGUUUUGCAGCAUUGUAAAGAGGGCAGAACAUGGAACAAGUUCGUCAUUAAUGAUGGAUUUGUGUUCCGUGCUAACAAGCUAUGCAUCCCAGAUAGCUCCGUUCGUCUUUUGUUGUUACAGGAGGCACAUGGAGGAGGGUUGAUGGGUCACUUCGGCAUGAAGAAGACCGAAGAUGUGCUCGCUGAGCAUUUCUUUUGGCCUCGGAUGAGACGGGAUGUUGAGAGAUUUAUCGCUCGCUGCACUACAUGUCAAAAAGCUAAGUCACGACUCAAUCCUCAUGGUUUAUAUAUGCCUCUCCCUGUUCCUAAUGUUCCUUGGGAAGAUAUAUCAAUGGAUUUUGUUUUGGGAUUGCCUCGAACUAAGAAGGGGAGGGAUAGCAUAUUUGUUAUUGUUGAUAGAUUUUCUAAGAUGGCACAUUUUAUACCUUGUCAUAAGAGCGAUGAUGCUACAAAUGUUGCUGAUUUAUUCUUUCGUGAAAUUGUUCGCUUGCAUGGUGUGCCCAAUACUAUAGUUUCAGAUCGUGACACAAAAUUUCUUAGCCACUUUUGGAGAUGUUUAUGGGCUAAGUUGGGGACUAAAUUGCUUUUUAGGACUACAUGUCAUCCCCAAACAGAUGGACAAACUGAAGUUGUUAAUAGAACAUUAUCUACUAUGCUUAGGGCUGUUUUAAAGAAGAACUUGAAAAUGUGGGAAGAAUGUUUACCUCAUAUUGAAUUUGCUUAUAAUCGUUCACUACAUUUAACCACAAAAUUGUGCCCUUUUGAAAUUGUUUAUGGUUUUAUACCUCGUGCACCAAUUGAUUUGUUACCUUUGCCAACUUCUGAAAAAGUUAACUUUGAUGCUAAGGAACGUGCUGAACUUAUAAUAAAAAUGCAUGAGACGACUAAAGAGAACAUUGAGCGCAUGAAUUCUAAGUAUAAACUUGCGGGAGAUAGGGGCAGAAAACAAAUUGUGUUUGAACCUGGAGAUCUUGUUUGGUUGCAUUUGCGCAAAGAUUGUUUCCCUGAUUUGCGCAAGUCUAAGUUAAUGCCACGAGCUGAUGGUCCCUUUAAGGUGUUAGCGAAAAUUAAUGAUAAUGCAUAUAAACUUGAGCUACCUGCAGAUUUUAGGGUUAGUCCCACGUUUAAUAUUGCAGAUUUGAAGCCUUAUUUGGGAGAAAAAGAUGAACUACCGUCGAGGACGAUUUCGAUUCAAGAAGGGGAGGAUGAUGAGGACAUCCCAAGUAAUGAUACAACCACAGCCCCUACAGCACGUACAUCUCAAGUACCGGAGAUACAUGGACCAAUUACUAGAGGUCGUGCACGACAACUAAAUUAUCAGGUACUUUCGUUCCUCGGUACUUCAUUUAAUAUUAAUGAGAAUAUGCUGCUGCCUAAGAUGGGUUCUUUUAUGUGUUUUAGGAAUGAAGGACCUAGCUUGGACCUCAAGGAUCAGCGUUGGACAGCAAACCAUGGAGGUGGCAACAAGGUGGCGGGAGUUAGCUCAAGUGUUGAUUUCAGAACAUUGAAACCGCCAUAAAGAGAUGAGAAGAAGGCCGCAUCCUCUUCAUCAAUGGGAUUUCGGCCAAGUGGAGGAUUCCCCCUCCGAUGGGUAUCUAUGGGCCAAAGAUGAGAGUUAUAACCUUAUUUGUUUGGGCCUAAGGCCAUGUAAUAGGGUCCAGCCAAUUUUUAGAUGUUUUCGUUGUGUUUUAGGAGGAUUCCUAGGCCGUUUCGGAGUCCCACAAGGGCCUGGCCGAAAACCACCUAGUUCCCCUCCUAUUUAUACCCCAUGAGCCCCCCUAUGGAGCCUUGGGUUUUGAUUAGAUAAAGUUUAGCUUUUGCUACUUUCGUGUAAUCGCGUGUGUCGGUUAGACCACCUGUUUUACCGUCAUCAAGACUCCAACUAUAUUGAGUAUUCAGAUUCAUGAACCUUCAUAUCUCCUAUUCGCAAUUUCAGAUUGCUUUUCAUCUU
rnacentral:lncRNA from 1 species